CCAUACGCCAGAGAGCCAUUGAAGACGAGGAAGAGGAGAAUGGUCUUAUAAAGAAGAAGAAGGAGCAGAUUCGUGAAAUCCCUGGCGCUCUCUUAUAAAUCUGUUUAAAAUGGAUAAAAAGAAAAAACAAUACAACGUCACGGCGUCAUCGCUGGUGGAUUUGAAAGCAGAGUUGUACAGGAAGCAGGAGGCGUUCAAGCAGGAAAAACUGACCCAGGAUACAGGAAGUGCCUCCAAACCACACAGCAGCAGCAACACAAAGAAACCCAGUGUGUGGAGUAAACAGAACCAAGGUGUGGCUGCACGUGCUCAGAAGGAUGUCGAGAAAACGGCAGAGGAGGAGCAAAACUUGGACAAAUCGAGGCAGAAGCUGGAGGAGAAAGCGCGCCUCUACGAGCAGAUGACCAAAGGCGAUUUUCCAGACGAGGAGACAGAAGAUCUCUACCUGGUGGACUUCACCCAGAAGAUAAUCGAUCAGAAAAGGGCGGGGCAGAACAGAGGGGUGGAGCCAGGAGACAGAGACGGAGAAGGAUUAGACGUGCGCAUCGCCAUCCCCCCUCCCCAGAGCGCUGAGGAGGAAUGGGUGGAUUAUCUGGAUGCGCUGGGUCGAUCGAGGAAGUGUUUAAGGAAAGAUUUACCUCAGUUUCAGAAAAUGGAUCAGGAUUUACAGGGCAAACGAGCGGUCGGAGCAGACAGGACUCUGUUGUCCGAUGACAUGAGGCGAGAGAUGCAGAGAGAGCAGUGGGAGAGGGAGGAAGAAGAGCAGAUGAAGAGACCUGUAGGACCCAUUCACUACGAGAACAUCCGAGAUCAAGAGGCCAGAGACCUGGGUGUUGGAUAUUACGCUUUUUCCCAUGAAGAAGACCAGCGCAAAAAACAGCGAGAGACCCUGGACAUGCUGAGAGACCAGACCGCGGAGCAACGCACCAAGCGAGAGCACCUGAAGGAGAAGCGGAAAUCUGUGCUCGAGGCUCGGCUGGCGAAAAUAAGAAUGAGGAAGAUGAAGAAGAGCAAGAUGGAGCCGGGAGCUGAGGAGAAUGAGGAAGAAGCUCCUGUUAAAGAGGACCAGGACGUGCCUGAGGACGUGAUCGAAACUCCGCCUCCUGCUGAAGCUGCCGUCAAAAAGGUGGAGGUCGAAAUCCAGGAGAGGAAAGACUCGAGGCCAGGAGCGCCGCACGUCAGAGAGUGGGACAGAGGAAAAGAGUUCUCCUGGGGUCAGUGGACCACCCGGAGACGGGACGAAAGGGAUUCCGAGUUCGCCCCACCCUCUUCAUACUACGGAGAUGAGAGACCAACCAAUUACGGCAGGCCUACACAGGAAGGAGGGCGGGGCAAAGGGAAACCGGGAUUCAAACGGUCCGAGGUGCUCGGUGGGUCGGAUCAGGACGGCACCGAAAGACAAACUCAACCCACACAUGCAUCUCUGACAAACCAGAAUUCAUUUUCGCAGCCUCAGCAAAUUCCCCAAGCGCCGUCUGAACAGACGCAUGACCUGGACGCCCUUUUAUCCUUCUACAAAAACUCUGUUUAAACUUUAAUCCCAGUCUAACGCUCAGUACAGUCUUACCUUUGUUUCCUGAGCUCCUCGAGGUGCCCCUUUUUUGAAAAGUAGCCUGAGUCUCACACACCCACCACUUGUGUGUUUGUCGUGGAGGCCUGGGGUGUAGUCAGUGUUCACAUUCAUCCCAAAGGUGUGCAAUGGGGUGGAAGCUCUAUAGUAUGAGAUCUUCCACACAUCCAACCCAUGUAAAGCAGAUCUUCAUAAAGCUGGUUUUGUGCACAGGGACAUCGUCAUGCUGGAACAUGUUUGGGUCUCUUAGUUCAAGCGAAGGGAAAAUUUCAU